GGACUAGAUUCACCAUUCUAAUCAAAUCUACAACAUUCACUAUAAGCUAUUUAAAGGUGUUGAACUGCAGCCUUUCACCAAGUUACUCUCCCGACCCAAGCAACCUUGGACCACUGGAGGGAAUCUCAAAGCUCUUGGCAUCACAUAUCAAUCUGUUUUUAGUCCAAUCAUAGGUAAGAAGGACUACAUUUGUAGAGUUCUGCAAGGAAAACACUUCCCACAAACUGGCUGUCUGUGCUAAUUAAGAAGCAAGUCUUCAUAAUUAUAGUUCACAUUUUUAAAAA